UUAAGCGACUAAGCGUACACGGUGGAUGCCCUGGCAGUCAGAGGCGAUGAAGGACGUGCUAAUCUGCGAAAAGCGUCGGUAAGGUGAUAUGAACCGUUAUAGCCGGCGAUGUCCGAAUGGGGAAACCCAGUGUGAUUCGUCACACUAUCGUUAACUGAAUACAUAGGUUAACGAGGCGAACCGGGGGAACUGAAACAUCUAAGUACCCCGAGGAAAAGAAAUCAACCGAGAUUCCCCCAGUAGCGGCGAGCGAACGGGGAGCAGCCCAGAGUCUGAAUCAGCUUGUGUGUUAGUGGAACGGUCUGGAAAGUCCGACGGUACAGGGUGAUAGUCCCGUACACCAAAAUGCACAGGCUGUGAACUCGAAGAGUAGGGCGGGACACGUGGUAUCCUGUCUGAAUAUGGGGGGACCAUCCUCCAAGGCUAAAUACUCCUGACUGACCGAUAGUGAACCAGUACCGUGAGGGAAAGGCGAAAAGAACCCCGGCGAGGGGAGUGAAAAAGAACCUGAAACCGUGUACGUACAAGCAGUGGGAGCACCUUCGGGUGUGACUGCGUACCUUUUGUAUAAUGGGUCAGCGACUUAUAUUCUGUAGCAAGGUUAACCGUAUAGGGGAGCCGCAGGGAAACCGAGUCUUAACUGGGCGUUAAGUUGCAGGGUAUAGACCCGAAACCCGGUGAUCUAGCCAUGGGCAGGUUGAAGGUUGGGUAACACUAACUGGAGGACCGAACCGACUAAUGUUGAAAAAUUAGCGGAUGACUUGUGGCUGGGGGUGAAAGGCCAAUCAAACCGGGAGAUAGCUGGUUCUCCCCGAAAGCUAUUUAGGUAGCGCCUCGUGAACUCAUCUUCGGGGGUAGAGCACUGUUUCGGCUAGGGGGUCAUCCCGACUUACCAACCCGAUGCAAACUACGAAUACCGAAGAAUGUUAUCACGGGAGACACACGGCGGGUGCUAACGUCCGUCGUGAAGAGGGAAACAACCCAGACCGCCAGCUAAGGUCCCAAAGUCAUGGUUAAGUGGGAAACGAUGUGGGAAGGCACAGACAGCCAGGAUGUUGGCUUAGAAGCAGCCAUCAUUUAAAGAAAGCGUAAUAGCUCACUGGUCGAGUCGGCCUGCGCGGAAGAUGUAACGGGGCUAAACCAUGCACCGAAGCUGCGGCAGCGACACUAUGUGUUGUUGGGUAGGGGAGCGUUCUGUAAGCCUGCGAAGGUGUGCUGUGAGGCAUGCUGGAGGUAUCAGAAGUGCGAAUGCUGACAUAAGUAACGAUAAAGCGGGUGAAAAGCCCGCUCGCCGGAAGACCAAGGGUUCCUGUCCAACGUUAAUCGGGGCAGGGUGAGUCGACCCCUAAGGCGAGGCCGAAAGGCGUAGUCGAUGGGAAACAGGUUAAUAUUCCUGUACUUGGUGUUACUGCGAAGGGGGGACGGAGAAGGCUAUGUUAGCCGGGCGACGGUUGUCCCGGUUUAAGCAUGUAGGCUGGUUGUCCAGGCAAAUCCGGAUAAUCAAGGCUGAGGUGUGAUGACGAGGCACUACGGUGCUGAAGUAACAAAUGCCCUGCUUCCAGGAAAAGCCUCUAAGCAUCAGGUAACAUUAAAUCGUACCCCAAACCGACACAGGUGGUCAGGUAGAGAAUACCAAGGCGCUUGAGAGAACUCGGGUGAAGGAACUAGGCAAAAUGGUGCCGUAACUUCGGGAGAAGGCACGCUGGUGUGUAGGUGAAGUCCCUGCGGAUGGAGCUGAGACCAGUCGAAGAUACCAGCUGGCUGCAACUGUUUAUUAAAAACACAGCACUGUGCAAACACGAAAGUGGACGUAUACGGUGUGACGCCUGCCCGGUGCCGGAAGGUUAAUUGAUGGGGUUAUCCGUAAGGAGAAGCUCUUGAUCGAAGCCCCGGUAAACGGCGGCCGUAACUAUAACGGUCCUAAGGUAGCGAAAUUCCUUGUCGGGUAAGUUCCGACCUGCACGAAUGGCGUAAUGAUGGCCAGGCUGUCUCCACCCGAGACUCAGUGAAAUUGAACUCGCUGUGAAGAUGCAGUGUACCCGCGGCAAGACGGAAAGACCCCGUGAACCUUUACUAUAGCUUGACACUGAACAUUGAGCCUUGAUGUGUAGGAUAGGUGGGAGGCUUUGAAGCGUGGACGCCAGUCUGCGUGGAGCCAACCUUGAAAUACCACCCUUUAAUGUUUGAUGUUCUAACGUUGGCCCCUGACCGGGGUUGCGGACAGUGUCUGGUGGGUAGUUUGACUGGGGCGGUCUCCUCCCAAAGCGUAACGGAGGAGCACGAAGGUUAGCUAAUCCUGGUCGGACAUCAGGAGGUUAGUGCAAUGGCAUAAGCUAGCUUGACUGCGAGCGUGACGGCGCGAGCAGGUGCGAAAGCAGGUCAUAGUGAUCCGGUGGUUCUGAAUGGAAGGGCCAUCGCUCAACGGAUAAAAGGUACUCCGGGGAUAACAGGCUGAUACCGCCCAAGAGUUCAUAUCGACGGCGGUGUUUGGCACCUCGAUGUCGGCUCAUCACAUCCUGGGGCUGAAGUAGGUCCCAAGGGUAUGGCUGUUCGCCAUUUAAAGUGGUACGCGAGCUGGGUUUAGAACGUCGUGAGACAGUUCGGUCCCUAUCUGCCGUGGGCGCUGGAGAAUUGAGGGGGGCUGCUCCUAGUACGAGAGGACCGGAGUGGACGCAUCACUGGUGUUCGGGUUGUCAUGCCAAUGGCACUGCCCGGUAGCUAAAUGCGGAAGAGAUAAGUGCUGAAAGCAUCUAAGCACGAAACUUGCCCCGAGAUGAGUUCUCCCUGAGACUUUAAGUCUCCUGAAGGAACGUUAAAGACGAUGACGUUGAUAGGCCGGGUGUGUAAGCGCAGCGAUGCGUUGAGCUAACCGGUACUAAUGAACCGUGAGGCUUAACCU
rnacentral:rRNA from 1 species